ensembl:lncRNA
CGAAGGGAAAGGCUCACGUGGAUCCGUAAGACGCACACAUGAGGACGUUCACUGUAAUGCUGUCUGUGCAUUCGUGUGCAUGAAGGCUUCUGAUUUCUGUAGAUAAGGCCUCCAACCACUACUUGACAGAAGCCUCGGGCUAGAAAUCACUCAACUUUACUGGCUGCUUCUCAACAGCCCAAUAAUGUUGAUGAGGCUCUCCAGAAGGUUCUCAGAUGGAAAAGCUGAAACUGUUCCUGAGGCUAUUAAGUUGGACUGCCCUUGCUCUAAUCUCUAAAGAGUCAAACCCACGAGGCUUACUGGGCUGCUUGGACCGGCAGUGACUGAAUCUCUAACUGGAGGAGCUGAACAAUGAAAAACAAAGCUGGCACAAGUCCUGGCUACGAAAAGUGAUGUCCUAAUUUGGGUGCAGUUCUAAGAAUACUCUAAGUAAUAAUCCAGCUGGCUCUGUGUCUAUGAGUGACAGAGCAUCACAGCCUUGUGAUAACGGAUUCUCUCAUUUCUCCCUAGAUUUUUUCCCUUAUUACUAUGGUUUGGAACCCACAUAGAGUCUUAGACAAUUAAAACAGCACACAUGAGUGUGUUUAUAUGAGGAGGUGGGAGACAGCUGUGAGUCUUUUAAAGGUGGGGCCGGAGGGAUUGGGCAAUAGGCAGAGGUAUUUAUUUUUAAGUGGAAAAAGAGAGCAAGUCUCUCGAUACCACCAGCCCACUGCCAAACUCAGGCAGAACCGACCACCGUUUCUUCUUGGCUGCUACCAUUCCUUGCUCAGCAUGUCAGCUGCGUGGAAGGAGGCCAUAGAGGCUGUGCGGUGUGGGAGCGUGCCCAGGAGACAGGGUAAAUCGCUGCUGGAGCAUGGGGUCCCAGAGGAGACAGGAGGGACUGACUGCAAGAGCAUGGGACAGAAAUUAGUUUUGAAAAGAAGAGAUACUGUUCCUUUGAUUCUAGAAGAAAAGAGUAAUAACGGCUUCAGACAGAGAUAAAAAUGCAGGUAUAAUUUGGAAAUUGAGGGAGGUUCAUGCCUAACGGCAGAGAUUCCCAAACUUCCUUGGUUCUUAGAGCCCUUAGCGUCUCAGUAGUAAGUCGAAACAACCUAAUAACUAUCUGUUCCUAAUAAUUUAGCAGCUGUUUGAAAAAUAAAUUGGGCACUGUACAGAGUCUGCUCUGGUUUUAACAGCACAUACAAUUCAUCCAUUUAAAGCGUAUAAUUCAGUAAUUUUUAGUAUAUGCAGAACUGUGCAACUAUCACCACAAUCAAUAUUAGAACAUUUUCAUCACCCCAACAAGAAACCCCAUACCUAUUAGCAGUCACUCCUCUCCCGUCUCUAGUAGCCAACCACUAACGUAUUUUCUGUCUCUAUAGAUCGGCCUGUUCUUGACAUUUCACAUACAAUCAUGCACCGCUUACAUUCUGAGAAACGCAUCAUUAGGCAAGUUUGCCGUGUGAAUGCCUUAAGAGUGAACUUACACAACCCUACACGGUAUAGCCUACUACACACCUAGGCUAUAUGGAACUAAUCUUACGGGACCACUGUCAAAUAUGGGGCCUGUUGUUGACCAAAGUGUUGUUAUUUGGCACUUGAAUGUAAAUGGAAUCAUACAAUAUGUGGCCUUUUUUAUUUGCCUUCUUUCACUUGGGAUAACAUUUUCAAGGUUUAUUCACGUUGUAGAAUGCAACAGUACGUCAUUCUUUUUUUUAAUGAUUGAAUAAUAUUU